UACGAAGGGGGCUAGCGUUGUUCGGAAUCACUGGGCGGAAAGGGCGCGUAGGCGGCCGCUCAAGUCGGGGGUGAAAGCCUGUGGCUCAACCACAGAAUUGCCUUCGAUACUGUUUGGCUUGAGACCGGAAGAGGUUAGUGGAACUGCGAGUGUAGAGGUGAAAUUCGUAGAUAUUCGCAAGAACACCAGUGGCGAAGGCGGCUGACUGGUCCGGUUCUGACGCUGAGGCGCGAAAGCGUGGGGAGCAAACAGG
rnacentral:rRNA from 1 species